UACAGAGGUCUCAAGCGUUGUUCGGAUUCAUUGGGCGUAAAGGGUGCGUAGGCGGCGAGGCAAGUCAGGUGUGAAAUCUCGGGGCUCAACUCCGAAACUGCACUUGAUACUGCCUUGCUAGAGUACUGGAGAGGAGAUUGGAAUUUACGGUGUAGCAGUGAAAUGCGUAGAUAUCGUAAGGAAGACCAGUGGCGAAGGCGGGUCUCUAGACAGUUCCUGACGCUGAAGUACGAAGGCCAGGGGAGCAAACGGG
rnacentral:rRNA from 1 species